CUUUCAUGGAGGCGAUAUGGUUCAAUCAUCUCUUCAAAGAACUUCCAGCUGAAACAGGAAUUACAAUGGAGGCCUUGCUGCAGGUCUGUAGAUCUUCUUGAUACCUGUGGGAGUUGCAUGCACAGCCAGAUGUAAUAGUCUCUGCAGGUGAAAAUUCUGAAAAUACUUGUCUGCGCACAAGCAUGGCUUCAGCCUACAGCUAGUAUUAUGAAGUUAAUGAAAUACAUACUUUCAGAUCUCCUGAGAUAUUGGCUCCUGCAAGAAUGCCAGUGGCAGCUGGGAAAAAAAUGGCAAACACCGAGAAAAAUCCUUCUCCACUUCUGAAAUCUGGUCCAAAGUUUUCUGCAAAUAUUGAUGCUGCAAAUAUAGGUGAAAAUGAAAUACACUACCAGGACUUGAUUCCAAAGUUACUUAAUGAAGGAGGAAUGACUGUCCCAAUAAAAAAGUUUGCAAUGGCAACAAGGAGAACAACUAGAAGAAUAACUUGUGCCUAUUAAUAGAAACAAAAAGAGUUUCCUGAUGAUUUUAAUUUGCAGUGACUGUGGAGAUGGCUAUAUAGUUUACCUUUGCUUCCCAUUCCAUGCCAGCAACAGAGAUGCCGAGAAGACAUACAACAGUUAUGGUACCUAUUAUUCUGAUGUCAUUGGACUCAUCUACCAUCAGUGUAUCACUCUCCUGAAAGCAGUAGGAAAUGUUUGUUAUUAGAACCAGUCUUUCUCUGCCCAACUGGAGAGAUCAGGUAACAAGGUGAGAGAAAGCAGUGAGCUGUCAAAGUUUCAGAGAUUUGCAAGACCGAGUGUUUGUAUUUCAUGUUCCACCUGGCUCUUCGUAGUUGGGGUUAUUUGGCUGUCUAAUUAGAUGUCUGUUCCUUUUCUGAUUUUGAGAUUCUUGUUGAGAAAUGUAUGAGAUAUUUCCAUAAGGUAGAAAUAAUGGAGAAGCACUCUAUGGCAUGUUCAGGCAAACCAGCUUCUUCCCUGCUAAAGAUGUCCC